CUAAAACAGACAAUGCAUGCAAAAUACACAAGGCAGACUAAGGGCUCAGCAAGUGCAACUCACUGUUCCUGCUGUUACUGCGAUUGCUGUGUAAGCUGGAUAUGGGGUCUGAUCUGGAUCCCACAGGGGGCAGAAACAUGGCCUUGCGCUGUCUGAGAGAAGGGCCCUAAAGGUCCAGCCUGUCCUCACCACCUGCUCUCUUUGGCUGUGGGUAAUGGCUAGGAGAGCAACCUCCUGGACACAGGGAGCCUUGGCCUGAAUCUAGAAGAGUUUUCCAUGGAGAACAACAGGAAACCUUGAACUCCUGCCAGAUGUUAAGGCAGACUCAUAGGUGGAUUUUGGGGAAGGACAUCAGCUAUUCUGGGGCUGGGAACUGGACAACCCAUGGAGCCCAGCCUCCCAUCCAAUGAAGACGUAAGCUCUGCACAGCCCAGCUACGGCAUCCCUGACAGUCUCUACUUAGAUGCCUCCCAGCAUGGAGAGCUCAGCACACACACACGCACAGACACCCUAUUCGUUUACAGAAUAUUAGAAGGACCCUGCAAGGUGCCUGGUCAUUGGACUUUCUACUGCAGGAGUGUGUGGGAUGCACCUGAGCCAGAGUUCCCUGCAGCCUAGGAGGCCAAGGAAUCCCAGGGCAGUCAAUGUCCCUGGUGCUGAAGGAGAUGGAUCCCCUUCCUUCCCCUGCACCCUCCUCUCACCCUCGCAGCAUCCUCCAGACACCUGGACCUGCUGUCAGGAUCCAAAAGCAGUGCUUUGGAAGCCUUAGGGAGGUAACCACUGAUUCCCAUGCUUCUACUCACAUUGGCUGCUCAGCAAAAGUAGGAAAGUCCCUACUGCAAAAAUGUCAAUGUCCCCUCUGGUGCCUGGCAACUGCCAGGGCCAGCCCUACUUCUUGUAUCUUCCAUGUUUGAAAUUUUAACAUUUGAACUCACACCCGAGGUUGACCAGAAGACCCAGAUAGCUCUGAGCUUUGCACCUGUGACCCACUGGUAUGGCAUUGCUUUCAUGGGAGUAACUGGGAUUUGGCAGCCUGAUGGGGCUGAUGCACUGAUUUGGGGGUCACUCCACAUGAACCCACACUGAAUUCAGGGCUGUGGCAUACAGACAGAUCAACAGCAACCUUGGGUGUGGGUUUCUAUGAACCUGUGUGUCUGACUUUGUAUAUUCAUUUUCUGGUGUCAUCUGUAGUCUGCAGUAACUAAUAAGGGCAAGGAUGGUUUUUAUUGAAGAAGACACACCCUUUCUAUAAUAGAAAAUGUCCACCCCCUGACCUGGUGCAGUGGUACACACCUGUAAUCCCAGCAUUUUGGGAACCUAAGGCUGGCAAGUUGCUUGACCUCAGUAGUUAGAGACUAGCCUGGCCAACAUGGCA
rnacentral:lncRNA from 10 species